AACGAACGCUGGCGGCAUGCCUAACACAUGCAAGUCGAACGAGACCUUCGGGUCUAGUGGCGCACGGGUGCGUAACGCGUGGGAACCUGCCCUUAGGUUCGGAAUAACUCCCCGAAAGGGGUGCUAAUACCGGAUAAUGUCUUCGGACCAAAGAUUUAUCGCCUUUGGAUGGGCCCGCGUUGGAUUAGCUAGUUGGUAGGGUAAAAGCCUAUCAAGGCGACGAUCCAUAGCUGGUCUGAGAGGAUGAUCAGCCACACUGGGACUGAGACACGGCCCAGACUCCUACGGGAGGGAGGAGUGGGGAAUAUUGGAAAAUGGGCGAAAGCCUGAUCCAGCAAUGCCGGGUGAGUGAUGAAGGCCUUAGGGUUGUAAAGCUCUUUUACCCGGGAUGAUAAUGACAGUACCGGGAGAAUAAGCACCGGCUAACUCCGUG
rnacentral:rRNA from 1 species